rnacentral:rRNA from 1 species
UCAGGACGAACGCUGGCGGCGUGCUUAACACAUGCAAGUCGAACGAGACGAUUGAAAGCUUGCUUUUGAGAGUCGAGUGGCAAACGGGUGAGUAACGCGUAGACAACCUGCCGUAAAGAUGGGGACAACAGUUCGAAAGGACUGCUAAUACCGAAUGUUGUAGAGCUUCCGCAUGGGAAUCCUACUAAAGGUGGCCUCUACUUGUAAGCUAUCGCUUUACGAUGGGUCUGCGUCUGAUUAGCUAGUUGGUGGGGUAACGGCCUACCAAGGCGACGAUCAGUAGCCGGUCUGAGAGGAUGAACGGCCACAUUGGAACUGAGACACGGUCCAGACUCCUACGGGAGGCAGCAGUGGGGAAUCUUCCGCAAUGGGCGCAAGCCUGACGGAGCAACGCCGCGUGAGUGAAGAAGGGUUUCGACUCGUAAAGCUCUGUUGUCGGGGACGAAUGUGGAGAUGGUGAAUAACCAUUUUCAAUGACGGUACCUGACGAGGAAGCCACGGCUAACUACGUGCCAGCAGCCGCGGUAAUACGUAGGUGGCGAGCGUUGUCCGGAAUUAUUGGGCGUAAAGGGAGCGCAGGCGGGAGGUCAAGUCUAUCUUAAAAGUGCGGGGCUCAACCCCGUGAGGGGAUGGAAACUGGUCUUCUUGAGUGCAGGAGAGGAAAGCGGAAUUCCUAGUGUAGCGGUGAAAUGCGUAGAUAUUAGGAGGAACACCAGUGGCGAAGGCGGCUUUCUGGACUGUAACUGACGCUGAGGCUCGAAAGCGUGGGGAGCGAACAGGAUUAGAUACCCUGGUAGUCCACGCCGUAAACGAUGAAUGCUAGGUGUAGGAGGUAUCGACCCCUCCUGUGCCGGAGUUAACGCAAUAAGCAUUCCGCCUGGGGAGUACGGCCGCAAGGCUGCAACUCAAA